UACGUAGGGGGGCUAGCGUUGUCCGGAUUUAUUGGGCGUAAAGAGCGUGUAGGCGGCCAGGUAGGUCUGCUGUGAAAAACUCGAGGCUCAACCUCGAGACGUCGGCGGAAACCAUCUGGCUAGAGUCCGGAAGAGGAGAGUGGAAUUCCUGGUGUAGCGGUGAAAUGCGCAGAUAUCAGGAAGAACACCCCGUGGCGAAGGCGGGGUCUCUGGGGCCGAUACUGACGCUGAGGAGCGAAAAGCGUGGGGGAGCGAACAGG
rnacentral:rRNA from 1 species